AGUCAAUCAGUGACCAGUUUCAAUGAAUAAUAUUCAUGACAUACGUAAGAUAAACAUCUUUCAACGGUUUGGUGAAUUAUGAAUUUGAAACAAGCUUACAUUUCUACAUGUUUGUGCCACCAACAGAAAGAUGGCGCUAGAGGUUAUUGAAUGAAAGGAUAUUGGAGUCCAUAUUGACGAAUAAUAAUUAUCAUGGAUCAUCAAAAUUUUGUCACAUCAAGCAGAGUGAUUGUUUUUAAAGCUUUCGACAAAAUCGAAAA